rnacentral:rRNA from 1 species
AUGCGCCUUGCCAGCCCGCUCAGAAACUUUAAAGGAAUUGACGGGGCCCGCACAAGCGGAGGAACAUGUGGUUUAAUUCGAUGAUACGCGAGGAACCUUACCUGGGCUUAAAUGGGGAGUGACAGCUGUCGAAAGAUGGUUUUCUUCGGACACUCUUCAAGGUGCUGCAUGGUUGUCGUCAGCUCGUGCCGUGAGGUGUCGGGUUAAGUCCCAUAACGAGCGCAACCCUUACCGUUAGUUACCAUCAGGUUAAGCUGGGGACUCUAGCGGGACUGCCACCGUAAGGUGAGAGGAAGGUGGGGAUGACGUCAAAUCAGCACGGCCCUUAUGUCCAGGGCUACACACGUGUUACAAUGGCCGGUACAAAGGGCAGCUACUUCGCGAGAAGAUGCUAAUCUCGAAAGCCGGUCUCAGUUCGGAUCGAAGUCUGCAACCCGACUUCGUGAAGCUGGAUUCGCUAGUAAUCGCGCAUCAGCCAUGGCGCGGUGAAUACGUUCCCGGGCCUU